UGACUAAUUUUAGAUUUAGUAUGCCUAUGU
rnacentral:sRNA from 1 species